AAGUCGUACGAGAGUUUUUAACUCUAGUGGCGGACGGGUGAGUAACACGUGAGAAUUUGCCUUUAGGAGGGGGAUAACAAUUGGAAACGAAUGCUAAUACCCCAUAUGCUUUCGAGUGAAAUGGAUUUAUAUUUAUCCGCCUAGAGAGAAGCUCGCGGCUGAUUAGCUUGUUGGUAAGGUAAGAGCUUACCAAGGCGACGAUCAGUAUCUGGUUUGAGAGGACGAUCAGACACACUGGAACUGAGACACGGUCCAGACUCCUACGGGAGGCAGCAGUGGGAAUUUUCCGCAAUGGGCGAAAGCCUGACGGAGCAAUACCGCGUGAGGGAAGACUGCCUAUGGGUUGUAAACCUCUUUUUUCAGGGAGGAAUAAAUGACGUGUACCUGAAGAAUAAGCAUCGGCUAACUCCGUGCCAGCAGCCGCGGUAAGACGGAGGAUGCAAGUGUUAUCCGGAAUCACUGGGCGU
rnacentral:rRNA from 1 species